rnacentral:rRNA from 1 species
AGAAAGAUUAAUACCGGAUAGCAUACGAAUAUCGCAUGAUAUUUUUAUUUAAAGAAUUUCGGUCAUCGAUGGGGAUGCGUUCCAUUAGGUUGUUGGCGGGGUAACGGCCCACCAAGCCUUCGAUGGAUAGGGGUUCUGAGAGGAAGGUCCCCCACAUUGGAACUGAGACACGGUCCAAACUCCUACGGGAGGCAGCAUG